AGUGCUAGGAUUGCAGGUAUGAGCCACUGUGCCUGGUCUGUAUUUAUUUUGUGUAGUCUUUUGCCCACAUUUUUUUCUAGGUGGGUUGUAUGCCUUUUUAUCUUUGAGUCUAAUGUUCUGACACAAGUGUUGAUGGUUAAUCUUUUCAUUUUUGAUGAACAUAAAUUCUUCAUUUUAAUUGUCAUAUUUAGUAAUUUUUUUUUUAGUGGUUAGUGGUUUUUGUGUCCUGUGUAAGAAAUCCCCUGCCUAUCCAAAGGUCCUAAAGCUAUUCUGUCUGAUAUCUUUUCUCCUAGACCCUUUAUUGUUUGGGCUUUUCACAUUGAAGUCUAUGAUCCACUUUGAAUCAACACACAAUCAUAUCUUGUGUGUAUGGGAUCAAAAGUUCAUUUUUUCCCCCACAUGAAUAACCAAUUGAUCCAGCAACAUUUAUUGAAAAACCCAUCCUUUCCCUAUUGAAUUGUGCUUUGUCUGCAGGUAAGCGUGAGUCAGGUUUGGGUUCCCUUCUGGUCCAUUGAUGUGUGUGUCUGCCCACACGUGUGCCAACACCAAACCGUCCUUGUUGCUGUCAAUUGCACUGUGAUAUCCACGCACCAUCUUCAAAGGUGUCCUGGGAGCUGCCGCCUCUGUAGAGAGUUUGCAAGGCUGUUUCCCUGUGCCAGGCCAUCGGGACUGGGGGAGGUGACAUUGGGAAUAAAGAAAGGGGGAAUAAGCCAUGUCCAGACACUGAAAGAGCUUUUCUUAAAGACAUCAAGGCUUUUUUUCAAAAGAUGUAUAGAUGUUCGGGGGGAUUAGAAAGCUUGGAAAAGCCUCCUCUUUUUAAAAUGUCAAAAAAAAAAAUACCCAUCUGGAGCAAGCUUUCUGUAACCAUCCGGUCAGUGCAUGUGGUGCUCUCAGCUGCACGGCGGACACACAGAAGGCCGUCAGGGAUGGCGUUUACGAAGGAGUGGCGCAGCCCAGAUGCUGAGCCCAGACGCGAGAGGGCGGGCUUUGAAGGGCCCGAGGGACACAGAGUGACCACAGGAAGGAGCCCCGCCCAGUGUUGGGUGGGGCUUCGGAGAGGGGCCCCUGCCUCGAGGACAGCAUGCUUGGGCAGCCACUCGCACGGCCGCGGGUGGAAAAGGCUUCAGCUUUCGUUACCUCUUCUUUCUUCUAUUUUUAGCUGUCCAUCUCCCCCAGUAUUAAUGGUCUGUGCAGAAAAUGAAAAGUAGAAAAUGUCACCUUUCGCCCUCCACCCAGAAUUGACCAUGGUUACGCUGAGGCUCAGCUCCUUCCAGCGUGGAGUCUGAGCAUCAGCUCAUUCAACGUUCAGGAGCAACGGGAAGUUUGGCCAUUAGCGAGGAUUUCCUCAAUUUCCUUGGAAUCAUCACAGUGGCUGGGCUUGGUCUUCCUGAAGCUCGGGCCGUUUCCCCCUCCCCUGCUUUCAAGCUGCAGGUCCGGGUGAGAAGGAGGCGGAUGCAAAUGCAGAGACUCGACUUUCAGGCCUGGUUUCUCAAAGUGGAGAUUCCUCUUUUUAAAGGCAUAGAGAAUUAAUUUCAUGACUGGGUCCCAGGCUCUGGGCUAAGCUUGAGCACCCAGAAACUGCUCACCAGAAGCGGAGGCCAGUGAGAGACACACGAGUGUCCGCGGUGCCAGGUGACAGGGCUCUCACAAAGGAUGGAGAAGGGGCCGUGGCGGCUGGCCCAGUGGAAAAGUACCUCGGCCGUGAUUCAUCAGGGACACUGCUCUGCUGGUGCCAGGCCAUCACCCCGUCCCGGAGACCAGACAGCUGACAGCUGAAAGUCACAUCAAAAAUGGAACCAACUUUAAGGGAAGAAAGUAAAGGAAAGUUAAGAUACAAAUGUGCUAUUUUGAUGUUAUACCUGGGUUCUGCUGCAAGCCUCUGUCUAACAGAACCACAACGAGACUACACCUGCUACGUGGUUGGCACCGUCUGGGCACAGUGGGCAAGGCAGGCUCCAGCCCCAGGCAGCUCCCAACCUGUGAGGGGAGAACAACGUGGAGCCCCAACGGGACACAGACUGGCUGAUUAAAUAAUAAUGUGGUUUGGACAAAUAAAAUUCCCAGUGUCACUGAACUUUAA